AGAGUGGCGCACGGGUGAGUAACACGUAUGCAACCUACCUCUAACUGGGGAAUAGCCUUUCGAAAGGAAGAUUAAUACCGCAUAAUAUUACGAAGGGACAUCCCUUUGUAAUCAAACUUUUAAGGGUUAGAGAUGGGCAUGCGUCCGAUUAGUUUGUUGGUGAGGUAACGGCUCACCAAGACUACGAUCGGUAGGGGGUCUGAGAGGAUGAUCCCCCCACACUGGUACUGAGACACGGACCAG
rnacentral:rRNA from 1 species